GAUAAACGCUGGCGGCGUGCUUAACACAUGCAAGUCGAACGAAGUUUUUCUUUCGGGAGGAACUUAGUGGCGGACGGGUGAGUAACGCGUGGGUAACCUGCCCUGUACAGGGGGACAACAGCUGGAAACGGCUGCUAAUACCGCAUAAGCCCUUAGCACUGCAUGGUGCAUAGGGAAAAGGAGCAAUCCGGUACAGGAUGGACCCGCGUCUGAUUAGCCAGUUGGCAGGGUAACGGCCUACCAAAGCGACGAUCAGUAGCCGAUCUGAGAGGAUGUACGGCCACAUUGGGACUGAGACACGGCCCAGACUCCUACGGGAGGCAGCAGUGGGGAAUAUUGCACAAUGGAGGAAACUCUGAUGCAGCGACGCCGCGUGAGUGAAGAAGUAUUUCGGUAUGUAAAGCUCUAUCAGCAGGAAAGAAAAUGUCGGUACCUGACUAAGAAGCACCGGCUAAAUACGUG
rnacentral:rRNA from 1 species